CAGUCCAUGUGGGAUAGUUAUGGACGGU
rnacentral:piRNA from 1 species